UACGAAGGGGGCUAGCGUUGCUCGGAAUCACUGGGCGUAAAGCGCACGUAGGCGGAUUUCUAAGUCAGGGGUGAAAUCCUGGAGCUCAACCCCAGAACUGCCUUUGAUACUGGGAAUCUUCGAGUCCGGGAGAGGUGAGUGGAACUGCGAGUGUAGAGGUGAAAUUCGUAGAUAUUCGCAAGAACACCAGUGGCGAAGGCGGCUCACUGGCCCGGUACUGACGCUGAGGUGCGAAAGCGUGGGGAGCAAACAGG
rnacentral:rRNA from 1 species